rnacentral:rRNA from 1 species
CCGGACCGACGGGUGGUAAGUAACGAACGUACUACCCACCGUCUACUCUUGGACAGCCUUCUGAAAGGAAGAUUAAUACAAGAUGGCAUCAUGAGUCCGCAUGUUCACAUGAUUAAAGGUAUUCCGGUAGACGAUGGGGAUGCGUUCCAUUAGAUAGUAGGCGGGGUAACGGCCCACCUAGUCUUCGAUGGAUAGGGGUUCUGAGAGGAAGGUCCCCCACAUUGGAACUGAGACACGGUCCAA